rnacentral:rRNA from 1 species
AGAACGAACGCUGGCGGCAUGCCUAAUACAUGCAAGUCGAACGAACACUUCGGUGUUAGUGGCGCACGGGUGCGUAACGCGUGGGAAUCUGCCCUUGGGUUCGGAAUAACAGUUGGAAACGACUGCUAAUACCGGAUGAUGACGAAAGUCCAAAGAUUUAUCGCCCAGGGAUGAGCCCGCGUAGGAUUAGCUAGUUGGUGAGGUAAAGGCUCACCAAGGCGACGAUCCUUAGCUGGUCUGAGAGGACGAUCGGCCACACUGGGACUGAGACACGGCCCAGACUCCUACGGGAGGCAGCAGUAGGGAAUAUUGGACAAUGGGCGCAAGCCUGAUCCAGCAAUGCCGCGUGAGUGAUGAAGGCCUUAGGUUGUAAAGCUCUUUUACCCGAGAUGAUAAUGACAGUAUCGGAGAAUAAGCCCCGGCUAACUCCGUGCCAGCACGCCGAC